GGGGAAUGGGAAUGCUAGGAGUGUUCACCUCGCUUGCACCGAGGAUACCAGUGGGGUUCGAAUCCCCAAUUCUCCA
rnacentral:tRNA from 1 species